rnacentral:rRNA from 1 species
UACGUAGGGGGCGAGCGUUGUCCGGAUUUAUUGGGCGUAAAGAGCGUGUAGGCGGCCAGGUAGGUCAGCUGUGAAAACUCGAGGCUCAACCUCGAGAUGUCGGCUGAAACCAUCUGGCUAGAGUCCGGAAGAGGAGAAUGGAGUUCCCGGUGUAGCGGUGAAAUGCGCAGAUAUCGGGAAGAACACCCGUGGCGAAGGCGGUUCUCUGGGACGGUACUGACGCUGAGACGCGAAAGCGUGGGGAGCGAACAGG